ensembl:lncRNA
AGAGAGGGAGGAACAGAGAGAGAGAGGAACAGAGAGAGAGGAACAGAGAGAGAGAGAGGAACAGAGAGGGAGAUGGAGAAUGAGGACAGAACAGAGAUGAACAAGAGCAGCAAAUUCCAUGGAGACAUCUGGAUUUGUCCAGGACAAACUAACUGAAUGGGGAUUCAGUGAGUUCAUGCAGAGAUUUAAAGAUGAAGGCAUUGACAAGGAGACGUUUCUAAACCUUGGAGAUUCAAUCCGAAUUAAUUUACUGUUUCCUAAAAUUGGACCAAGAGUAAAGUUUAGAAAGAGACUCAAAGAUUACUUACAGAUGGAGAUAUGUCAUUUUGUCCAGGAAAAAUUAACUGAAUGGCAUCUCAGUGAGCUGAUUCACAGAUUUGAAGAGGAGGGUAUUGACAAAGAAGCUUUCCUAAGUCUCGAGUCAGGCAGAAUCAAUACUUUGAUUCCAAAAAUUGGACCAAGAGUAAAGUUUAAAAGGAGACUCAGAGAAUACUUACAGGACUUGAAUAGAACACAUGAUGAUUCUGCUGACAUGAUGGAAACAAGCGCAGAGCAAGAGGACAGUCCAGAAAUGGUAUGAUCUCAUUGUGCCUGAACAUGGUUCAUUAUUGAGUGAUUAAUCUUUGAUCAUUUUUGUUAUUAAUGUCAUCAUGUUAUUAUAGAAAAAUUAAUGUUGUCAGCGUUAAUCUCCUUAAGUAAAGUAAGUAAGUAAAAUUUUAUUUAAAUAGUACCUUUCAAGAUAAAAUCACAAAGUGCUUCACACAAGCAGAAAUGGACAUACAACCUCAAACAAACAAAAGCAACCAAAAGCAAGUUUAAACAGAUACAUUUUUAACUGCUUUUUAAAUGAAAUGACUGAGUCCACAGAUCUCGAACUCAAAGGGAGCGAGUUCCAGAGUCUGGGAGCCAUUGACACAAACGGUCUGUCAUUGUUUGUUUUUAACCUUGUAUGCUGGAAAACCAGCAAGCGCUGGUCACAAGACCUCAGGGACCUGCUGGGGCGAUAAGGCAGAAGGAGAUCACUGAUGUAAGUUGGAGCUACACCGUGCAGGGCCCUAUAGGUCAUGAUUAUAAUCUUAAAAUGAACCCUGAACUUGACAGGAUGUCAGACUUGACGUCCUGACACCAUAGCCGCAUUAACGCAGCAAAUCUACGUUAGCUGGUUACCGUGGAUCUCCCCAUGGGUGAGCUGGACGCCACUAAACAAUAACAAGCUUGUGCCAUAUUGUUAAAAUGACAUUAUGGCGUUAAUGUCAUUUUAAAGAGAUUAAUGUUGACAGCACUAAUCAAAAAUACAUUUUGAUGGAUUCAAGGACUCAUAUCUUUAGAGUAAAACAGGUGUCAAUAUGAGCAAAGUGAACCAGGUUAGCUGUUUACCUAAGUCCUCUGCAGAAUUCUCCAACACAGCUCAACUGUUUUUCACAAACUGUGAGUAAACAACAUGAAGGCCUGUGCCUUGUCUGGAUAAUUAUUUGGUAUUUGUUUUCACGCAGGAGCCAAACAUUUUUCCUCAACAUUUGGAAUCUUCUUCAGCGUCUGACACAACAGAUGGCAAAGACAGGGUAAGAAAGGAAGUCAGAAAAGAUACUUUUAAACUGGUUGAAGAUCCAGUGAUUUACAAUGAUUUUAUCUGAAGACAAACAUUUUGUCUCCAUAAUGCUGCAAUAAGAGGAGCAAUAAAUAAUGAAGCUAACAAAUUCAAACUGCUUCAAAUUAGUUUAAUAUAAAUAUCUGAAAUGCACCUUCAUCACGUGAAUAUGAAAUAUUAAGAGUAUAGGUAGGCCUGGCUGAUGUUUUGGCCUUGGUUUAGAUGCAGGACCACAACAUUUAUCCAUUUCAGUUGGAGUCUGCUUCAGCAGUUGACAGAGGCAGUGACACAAGUAAUGAACCAAUUUGCUCCUGGGCAACAGUGACACAAGGACAAAGUCCAACCACAUUUACAAUGUUUUACUGUCAAGAGUGUAAAAACUUCAUGGGAAACGAUCCUGAUUCUUGUUGUUCUCACUGUGCCUCUGUGUUCAACAAAGCAAGCAGCAUUCAAAAUGGAAACUUCUUUCUGUACUCAUCCCUGAAAGACCUUCUGAAAGGUAUCCUUGAGAACCACAGCGCUGAGUUGUUACCUAAAACAGUUAAAGAUGAGCAUGAUAACAUCAAAGAUGUGAUGGAUGGGAUGAUGUACCAGAAUCUCCUCAGAGAGGGUAAACUAGCUGCAGAUGAUCUCACACUGACAUGGAAUUUUGAUGAAGUACCAAUUUUUAGCACCACCAGAUACUCAAUUUGGCCCCUUCAGUUUGUUAUUAAUGAACUUCCUUACACACAAAGACAGGAAAAUAUGAUAGUUGCUGGAUUUUGGUUUGGCCAAGGAAAACCUCAUAUGAACACAUUUCUGAAACCAUUUGUGGAUGAAUGUUGUGAUUUAGCCCAAAAUCCAUUUCAGUGGAGAGACAGCAGAGGCACUCUUCAUUCAUCAAAAGUCUUCUGCUUGGUUUGCUCCUCUGACGCUGUGGCGAGGCCACUUCUCCGGAAUUGCAAACAAUUCAAUGGAGAAUAUGGUUGUGACUGGUGUUUACACCCUGGCACAGUGGUACCAAAAGGCUCUGGCUCUAUGAGGUCAUACCGAUAUGAUGAAACUAAACAAGCAUCAAGAUCAAAAAAUAUGUUUGUUGAAAACACCUCAGAGUAUGGUGUAAAAGGAAUGUCCUUACUUUCCAGACUUCCUUUGUUUGACAUUGUGUUUGGAUUUGUACCAGAAUAUAUGCACUCAGUUUUAGUUGGUGUGACUAAGCAACUUAUUGGAUUGUGGCUGAACUCAGAGAACUCCAAGAAAGACUGGUAUGUAGGUCAACAGAUUUCACAGAUGGACUCUUAUCUCUUAAAGCCUCCAUCAGAAAUGAGCAGAUCUCUACAGUCACUGAAGGGUCGGGACUCUUGGAAAGCAUCUGACUGGCGAGCUUUCCUUUUAUUUUAUGCUGUUAGUGUCCUACCAGGCAUCCUUCAGCCUUCAUUUCUCCAGCAUUUUUUUUGUUUGUCGAUCAGCAUUCACAUUCUGCUACAAGAAUCAGUCUCCCAAAAUGACCUUCAGCUGGCCCAUGAGAACUUGGUACUCUUUGUUAGAAACAUGGAAGAACUCUAUGGUGAAGAAAACGUUUCAUUCAACUGCCAUCAGUUGAUCCACUUAGCUGACUGUGUGCGUAACUGGGGGCCUCUCUGGGCAACAUCAGCAUUCAGUUUUGAGAGGAACAGUGCAAAUUUAAGGGCACUGCUUAGCAACAUAAACUACAAUCCUCAAAAAAUUCAAGACAAGUUUCUCCGUUGGCAGCGCCUGCCGAGUCACCUUCGCUCCCUUGUUUCUAACGGAAAUUCUCCGUUAGCCAGAAUUUCACCAGUAAAUGAAACCACUGAUUGUUACGAUCUGCUUGGAAAUUCACGGCAUCUGGAUAUCACAGGAUCCAUAAAACUAGCAAUAGAAGAGCUCUUAAAUCGACCUGUUUCAUUCAGAUCAGUGGAAGCCUUUGACAGCUUCAUCAACAGAAAUACUGUUUACUCUGUAAACCAUGAAGAGACAAGAGACUGUGUCAUAAAACUCAAGAAUGGCUGCUAUGGAGAAAUACAGUUCAUCGUCAGGUUUAAAGAGAACUGUGUUUGCACAUCCAACUGUGUGUGCUCGGCUAUUUCAGUCAUUGUGGUCCAGCUGUUUUAUAUCAAACGUGAUGCAGAGGACAGCAGGAUGAUUCCUGACAGUGCAUCAAGGACUAUCUUUGUGGAAUGGAAAGGACAACUCAGCUCAAAGCCUUCUUCUUGAGGGAUGUUAGGUGUAAAUGCAUGUAUGUGAAUGGUUGGCUGGUGCCUUUACCAAACUCAUAUGAAAGAUAUUAAAGUUCCAGCACAGCUAAGGUGCUUUCUCUGUCUUGUAUAUCAUGGCACAUGGCUGUUUUUACUACAGUGAAAAUCUUGGAAAAAUGAAUGAUGAUGAAGUUUUUUCAAAGGAGUUUGGAGUCAUUUUGUUCAUAUGUGUGCGAGAUCUGUGGCUUACGUUUUCUUUUGGUGUGACAGUGUGGACAUAAUGUAGCCAGUGUAAUGUAGGAUUAUAUCACUCAGUACUGUAUGUGUAUUAUCUGUAUAUGGAGGAAAUUAUGGAGUGAUUGGUAAACAGCCAAAAGCUUGCCUUUCCC